UUGUGGAGGAGGACGCCGAAGGUGGGGCUGAUGACUGGGGUGAAGUCGUAACAAGGUAGCCGUACCGGAAGGUGCGGCUGGAUCACCUCCUAACAGGGAGACAAAACUGAUUAUUGAUGUCUGAUAUUUAAUCUCAGGCCAUAAUCCUGUCACCUUAGGUCGAUCGGUACCUCAGAUUAAAAACGUCAAAUUUAUUGAGGUUUUUAAUUUCAGUUCCUAAACUUGUCUAGGUCACACCCAACAAACUUUCUCCUGGGCUAUUAGCUCAGGCGGUUAGAGCGCACCCCUGAUAAGGGUGAGGUCCCUGGUUCAAGUCCAGGAUGGCCCAUUCGUAGUUGGGGGUAUAGCUCAGUUGGUAGAGCGCCUGCUUUGCAAGCAGGAUGUCAGCGGUUCGAGUCCGCUUACCUCCACUGAUCAACUACCUGAUAACUCAAUUGGGAGAUUGUCAUUUGUUUAGAGUGAUUUAGAUGUUGUUCAACUGAAUGAACCUAGCUUCCUGUCAUCCCUUCUUUUAGGCUGAUAAGACGCUGGGCUCACUGAUAUUCGUAAGAUUAUCAGUUUGAUUCAGCAGAACCUUGACAACUGCAUAGAUAAAGUCUGGAAAAAAAAGCAUCUCAUAGAUGCAUAGAAUUUAAUAUUCAGAAUUUCUGAAGUAAAAUUAGAUUUCUAUGAUUAAUUCUUGAGUUAGAGCAAAAGAUCUAUAUGGCUUAGUCAAUAGAUCUUAAUGGUCAAGCUACAA
rnacentral:misc_RNA from 1 species